UUUCCAGACUCCUACGGGAGGCAGCAGUGAGGAAUAUUGGUCAAUGGGCGGGAGCCUGAACCAGCCAAGCCGCGUGAGGGAAGAAGGUACAGCGUAUCGUAAACCUCUUUUGUCAGGGAACAAAGGCGGGGACUAGUCCCCGGAUGAGGGUACCUGAAGAAAAAGCAUCGGCUAACUCCGUGCCAGCAGCCGCGGUAAUACGGAGGAUGCGAGCGUUAUCCGGAUUUAUUGGGUUUAAAGGGUGCGCAGGCGGCCGGUUAAGUCGGGGGUAAAGGCCGGGGGCUCAACCCCGGCGAGCCGUUGAAACUGGCGGGCUGGAGUUGGAGAGAAGUACGCGGAAUGCGCGGUGUAGCGGUGAAAUGCUUAGAUAUCGCGCAGAACCCCGAUUGCGAAGGCAGCGUACCGGCUCCACACUGACGCUGAGGCACGAAAGCGUGGGUAUCGAACAGGAUUAGAUACCCCGGUA
rnacentral:rRNA from 1 species